rnacentral:rRNA from 1 species
AUGCCUCAGAUUGGUAUGAAAUUUAAUUCCACAAAAGAGGCUUGGAACUUUUGGACAUGUUAUGGAGGUCAUAUUGGUUUUGAUGUAAGGAUAAAUUAUGAAAACAAGAGCAAACUCGAUGGAGUAAUCACUUCAGCAAGAUAUGUUUGUUCCAAUGAGGGCUACAGAAGAAAAGACAAAAGGGAUAAUAAUACAAAGCGUCCUCGUGCAGAAACAAGGACCGGCUGCAAUGUUCGAAUGGGAAUCACUAUAGACCGAGAAGCAGGAAAUUAUGAGGUGCAUGAGUUAGUUGUUGAACACAUCCAUGUGUUGCAAUUACCUGGGGCAAGCCACUUGAUGCCAUCACAGAGGAAAAUUUCGGCCUUGCAAGCAUUUGAAAUUGAAACAGCGGAUGAUUCAGGAAUUGUACCUAAAAAAGCCCAUGAGUUAGCAAAUCGACAAGUUGGUAGUCCACUGAACCUUGGCUACACAUGUCGUGAUCGCAAGAACCACUUGCGAACCAGGCGUCAAAGGGACUUGAUGUAUGGUGAAGUUGGAAGUAUGCUCAAGUAUUUUAGAGAUAAAAAGAAUGAGAAUCCUGCAUUUGAAUAUGACAUGUAA